UACAGAGACUGCAAGCGUUAUUCGGAUUCACUGGGCGUAAAGGGUGCGCAGGCGGCCAAGUGUGUGAGGCGUGAAGGCCCGGGGCUUAACCCCGGAAUUGCACCUCAAACUACAUGGCUAGAGCAUUGGAGAGGGUAGCGGAAUUCACGGUGUAGCAGUGAAAUGCGUAGAUAUCGUGAGGAACACCAGAGGCGAAGGCGGCUACCUGGACAAUUGCUGACGCUCAGGCACGAAAGCGUGGGGAGCAAAAGGG
rnacentral:rRNA from 1 species